AAAAAAAAAAAAAAAAAAAAAAAAAAAAAAAAAAAAAAAAAAAAAAAAAAAAAAAAAGAAAAAAGAAAAAAAAAGAAAAGAAAACUUCAAUUUUCUGGGUAUGCACAAAGACCAUGAAGACUUAUCCAAGUGCAUGACCGGAUUUUUGUGGUUUUGUUCAUUUUGUGUUUAAUUUGUGUUUUUUUUUUUUUCCCAGCUGUAUGAAAUGGGCUUUCUGAAGUUUAAAUAGUCCGACUUCACCCAUGGUGUUCUGUGCUUGCAGUGCGAGUGUUGCUGUAAUUCAGUGUUGCCGUCAGUGUCUCUUUUCUUAGCUUUCUGUCUUUCUUUCAACGUAGUGUGAAGUGUCUUAUCCUUUUCUAUGAAUUCCAAUUUGCCUUAACUCUUUUGAUGCUGUAGCUGUUUCAGUAAAAGUUAGUUCAAACUAAUGAUGUAGAAUGCUUUGACCAAAUGAGCUGGUCUAUUAUGCCUUGUAAAACAGCAGCAUAGGGCUUUUAAAAGGUAGUCAAUAAAAGUUGCUGAAAUUUUGGCUUUUUUAAAUAUGUAGUAGGUGUUUUUAAUGAUUUUUCACAUAAUGUGUAAGGUAGUGAUAUGCAAGAAGGGAAAAAUGUUUUGUGUGAAACACAUUUUCUGACUGGGGAACUUUUAUUAGGGUAAAUUGUUUGUAAGGCUGUACGCCAACAGUUUCCUCUGAUAGUUUGACUGAUUUAGGAUAUCUGCUGUAUGAUGCAAUGUAAAGUCUUUUUUGCCUUUUUUCAGGAAAAAAAAAAAAAACUAACUUGAUGUUCUAGAUUUAGUGUAGGUAGCGUUGGGGUUUGGGGAUGGGGGGCGGGGGACGGGAGUCACUGAAUGUUUUGUCCUUCCUUUAUACUAAUGAUAGUGCUUUAGAAUGAGAAUUAUGCCUGAAAUCUGGCAAACCGAAAAAUGUUGCUAUUGCAACAAAGUGGCAAAAGCUAAAAGUAAGGAUUUUAUCUUCAAACAUAAGCUGAGAUAUGAAUAGAAGCAAAAUGAUUGGCUACUAGCUCUCUCUCUCUCUCUCUAUUAGGUAAAUUUGAAAAAUAAAAAUGACUUGGCACUUUUAAAGGUAACUUCACCAAAGACCGAAGAGCCAGUAACCAGUAGCUCCAACUUGUCUCAGCAUCACAUCUUCUGUGCUCUUUAUUUUUGCCGGACCAGUUUGCGGUUAGGAGAAUGUGCCUUUUUUGUACCUUUGCAUUUAGGUUUUAUAAUUUUAAUUGAUGUAUGGACACACACAAACAAACAAGCAUGAAGGAAGAUUUGGAUCCAAGCAGUGCCACACUUUACAUCAUCACUACAAGUGUUCAAGUGUAAAGAAAACCAAUUUUGAAACUAUGAAAUUCCUGAUUCAUAAAUACACAGUUAUUUCUACUUUAGUACAUAUAAGAUAAUUCACUGUUAUUAAAGCUCUUUUAUUAAGGCAAUUGCAUAUGUUUUAAAAGCAAUGGUAAAUUAAGUUGUCUUCCAAAACUGUGUACUUGUCUGGUCAGCUGUGUAUGAUCAGUUAUCUACCUCAGAGUCUAUUUUCUUUUGUGCUGGGACAGGUUGCUGGCCCUCCCUGUUUCCACAGACCAAAUCCUCCUAGCUCAGGAGCUAGGGCUAAGCAGUUAUUUCUUUUGAGUAUUUUUUAGUUCUUAAAUUUUAUGCUUGUAUUUGAUGAUAGAUGUCAGUGACAUUUCAUAGUUUCAAAAGUCCUUGCUGCUCUGAGAAGUGUAGAUUCUAGUGAAAAUUACAUAGUCAUAAGAGAAAUGUGUUUUUGUUUUGUUUUUGUUUCAUUUUUUUUAAAGUUGUGGUAUUAUUGGUUCUAUGCUCCCUGGAAUAUUACUGCUUUGUGAAAGUCCAGACUGAACGCAGCACCCUCUGUGUACCUAGUACAGUUAUAAACCUGGGUCUCUCACUACUUGAUAUUUUUGCAUUAGUUAAGACAGAAAUUUGAUAGCUCGGUUAGAGGGGAGGGGAAAUCUGCUGCUAGGAAUGUCUGAACUAAGUGCCAUACUCGUCUGGGUAAGAUUUGGGAAACAUAACCUCUGUACAUAAAAAAAAAAAAAAUCAGUUAAACAUCACAUAGUAGACAGCCAUUAAAUUAUAAAAAAAAUUAAUUUAUGAAGAAAGACCUUUUGUACAGAUUGAAAAAAAAGAUUUUCAUAGAGAUAUCUAUAUGAUCAAGAGAGUUAAUUUUUUAUUUUUGUUUUACUAGUGCCACAGACUUGCCAGUGGUAACUUAUUUGUCCGGUUCAAGAUAACUCUGUAGUUUUCUUUCCUAGGACUUGUUGUUAAACGCCAAAAGACAUUUUUGAACUGUACAUUUGAUCAGAUUGUUAGCUUUUCUGUUUUAUUUCUUUUGAGAACCUUUGAAUAAAAAACAUCUGAAAUUUUAUUUUUCCUGUCAAUUUUUUUUAAGUAGAUUAAGUAUAUAUGAGAAUUUCAUUUCAUUUCUGAUCUCUUUCUUCAGCUCAGUAGAUUGGUUUGAAAGUGAGUUGAAAGUUAUGUCAGAUACGUUAUAUCCUCAAAAUACUCUUCCUUGAAAGGAAUUGGAAAAACCUUUCCACCCCCUCUUGCUGGUUAUUUAAAUCUGUGUAAGGACCAGAGACUUCAACCACUGGCUCAGCACAUGUCAUCUCAGCAAAUGUGCAGCCCAAAAUACACCAGUAGUGGUCUAUUCUUAAAGACCAAAGAACCAGACCCUUUUUCUUCCUCCUUUCGUGCUGCUACCCCUCAACUAUUUCAUUGCUUGUCAAUGCUUAGCAAGGACAGAGUAACAGCAGCUCUCCCACCUGUGGAUUCCUUACUGAUUAAAAUUAAAAUCUGGUUACAAAACAAGGGACCUAGAGAGAUGUUCGCGACUUCUCUACACAGAUGCCUCCUGCUGCUUCCAAUUUUUCUCCUUUAAGCCAGGGUGAAUCCAAAUCAUGGUCUCAGCCCUGAAGGAGGCACUGAAGCAGUUUCGUCUCCCUGUAAAGGCCUCUAGAGGAGCUCAUCUGAAUGCUUGAAGACACCAGGCUUCUUUGCAAUUCUCUAAAAGACAUUGAGUCAUGUUAACAAGACACUCUUUCUGCCAUCCACAGUCACAAUCAAAUCUUUGAAAAAUAAAUACUGGUGGUUUUUUUUU